rnacentral:rRNA from 1 species
GGAAGACAGACCCAGGGAACUGAAACAUCUAAGUACCUGGAGGAAGAGAAAGCAAAUGCGAUUUCCUGAGUAGCGGCGAGCGAAACGGAAUCUAGCCCAAACCAAGAGGCUUGCCUCUUGGGGGUGUAGGACAUUCUAUACGGAGUUACAAAGGAACGAGGUAGACGAAGCGACCUGGAAAGGUCCGUCGUAGAGGGUAACAACCCCGUAGUCGAAACUUCGUUCUCUCUUGAAUGUAUCCUGAGUACGGCGGAACACGUGAAAUUCCGUCGGAAUCUGGGAGGACCAUCUCCCAAGGCUAAAUACUCCCUAGUGAUCGAUAGUGAACCAGUACCGUGAGGGAAAGGUGAAAAGCACCCC